rnacentral:lncRNA from 1 species
AAACACUGGCAAAUGCAGAGUACAAUCUUGGACAUGACUCAAGUAAGCGGGUUCUUAAAAAGGAUUUACAAAAGAUAUAAAUGCUGGCAACUGAAAGACAUUAACUUGAAGACUUAAAACGAACUCUGCUCCUUUUCAGGAGAACAUCUCACAUUUCCCUACAAAGGAGGUAUGCUGCAACAAGCAGGAGCAGAUCCUCUCACACGGCGCUGGAACACAACCUGAAGAUCCCACAGCAGAGGCUCUUCCCCUCCCCAGAUCCUAAGAGUUGGUCUUCUUUGAUCACGAGCAAGUGGUUUCCGAAGGUGAAUGUCAGUUGUGUCAAUGCUUUGCAGCCCCGCAGCCAUCCACCACAGGGCCACAGUUCGGCAGCACCUCAGCGGUUGAGGCCGUGGCGGCUCACAGCAGGCAACGUGCCCGUGUUAAAACACGAAGACUGGGACCAUCGUUCCUGCCAUGCCCUCAGUGUCUGACAGCCUCCAGCCACCCUCCCUGGCACCCACCACGGCUGGGCAUCACUCUGCCAACAAACAGUGUGGUUGGCACUAACGGCGAGUACUGCCCCACAGACCCAGCGAACAGCCCGCCCUGGGCCCAGGCCCCUCUGUCAAGGCUGCACUCCAGAAGGAGGAACGCACACCGGGCGCUGACGAACGGGCCGCACGACCAGUGCCCACCGCCCCGGGGCCAACAGCCGCCGCCCGCCACGGCGGCUCGGGCCGGGCCGGGCCGGGAACCCCGCGCCGCGUGCGCGCUGUCAGGGCGAGGCGGGCUGCCGGGACGACUGCUGCAAGUUGCCCCCAGGAGUUGGGGAGCGGCCGCCGGGCAGAGCCGGCUCUCCGCCUGCACCUCCCUCCCCCCGCCCGGCCACCCGCGCUCCGGGCCGGCAGCCCUCGGGGCGCUCUCGAGGCUCCGUCCGCAGACCGAGCCCUCGGGGAUCAAGAAGGCAGAGGGACACUCACCAUCCCGCCUGACGUUGGAGGAGCGCAGGGCUCGGAUAGAUCCGCUCUGGGCAGGGGCGGUGGUGCCCUGACGGCUGCAAAAGUUCGCGCAGACGACGGCGUAGAGGAGGAGGAGGAUGAGCAGUUGCAUUGGGAUCCGCUGUGCACGGGACGGCGGCUCUGCGAAGAAACAGGGCUCUGCCCGCCGAGCUGCUGCCCUCCCCGGCUCUGCCUGCCGCCCGUACUGCGUGCGCUGCUCGUGCGGGCUGCCCGAGCGGCUGAGGGAGUUGUGAGCCGGGCAAGAAAAUGAAAUAAAAUGAAAGAGAACACAUAAAAAUCCCACCCGAAACAGCAGUCAGAGCCGCCGAGUUACUCCCCCAAACUUCCUCCACGCUCAACUCUCCGCCGCGCGUCUGUGCCCGGCCGCAGCGGCAAGGCAAGACCUCGAAUAUUUUCCUAACUGCUACCAACUCAGGCACUGCAUAGGACGAUGAUACAGAGGAUCGGCAACAGGAUCCUAACCUUCUUCUGCAAGCACUG